GAAAUUUUAAGGGAGUGCCAGAGCAUGGCUGGUCAACUGGAUGUAUGGAAGCUUCUAGAUGAUGCCCAUGACUUGGUGGUGACUCUCCAUGACAAGAUGUAGACAUCUUUGUUAUGGAGAUCUUACACUAAUUUAUUCUCUUUGCUGCUCGAACUUUAUUUUGUGGGAUGAUGCUACCAAACACUGCAUGCAUCUCCGGUACACAGGAAGAACUGAAGACAGCUUAUGGUCAAGUAAUGCCGCUGCUUUUCUUUUGCUAAAGAACAUGCAAAUGUCGGAUAAGAAUCUGCAAGUUGGGGAAUAACUUCAUGUGACUAUCUCCUACAUACAGACUAGCAAAUUGCUUGAAUUCAGUGUAGCAAUUCGCUGGAAUCCUGAUUGGUGUACCAUGCUUGAUAUUGAAUUUGUUUAACUUAGUUCUCUUGUUAAUGUUCUCCUAAGGUGGCUUUUUAUUUGGAGUAUUUAUCUCCUGUUGCCCCAACCUCCCCAAGGCAAAUGGAUGCUAGAAUAGCAUACCUUUCCACGCUCUGUGGUUGGUUUGUAACUUUAUCAUCA
rnacentral:misc_RNA from 1 species